UCCCUCAGUCCCGAUUAAACCAUUUAACUUCACCAGUUUCUAACCCAUCAUGUGUUUGUGUGUCUUCUUCCCAGUCCCUGGCUUUCUGUGUUCUGCCCCAAAUGUCAGCAUGGUUGGCAUCUGGCAGGACUUGUUCCAGAAAAAACACAGAAGAGAAUGUUCCGGAAGGCACUGAGAAAUCCUGCUCCCAGCAGGAAGAAAACAAACCAAAUUUUGGAGCCAGCAAAAAUAGACUUCUUAUGAGCCAGGUGGCCUACUUCCUGAACUACCGGCUGAAGACAUACAAAGAUCAAAAAGAUCAUGAGGAGGAACAGAAAUACAGAGACAGCAAAAAUAAACUUCUUAUGAGUCAAGUGGCCUGCUACCUGGCCUGCCGGCUGAAGACGGAAAUCCCUGGCUUUCUGUGUUCUGCCCCAAAUGUCAGCAUGGUUGGCAUCUGGCAGGACUUGUUCCAGAAAAAACACAGAAGAGAAUGUUCCGGAAGGCACUGAGAAAUCCUGCUCCCAGCAGGAAGAAAACAAACCAAAUUUUGGAGCCAGCAAAAAUAGACUUCUUAUGAGCCAGGUGGCCUACUUCCUGAACUACCGGCUGAAGACAUACAGUAAGUUAUAGGUUGACCACCAGGA
rnacentral:lncRNA from 1 species